AUUAGUAAAGUAAGGGCUCUGGGCUCUUUAGGGUCUGGGAAGAUGAGAAGGAGGCAGCCAAGGGCUUUGGGAAGUCUUCGCAACCCGUUUCCUCCCCAGGCUUCCCCACUGUAUGUUUUUCCCACCAGUGUUCACCUCAUCCCUUCUCAGCAGACCAUCUUUCAUCCUGCUGUUCAAGUCAACCCUCUUUCUGUUUUCUACCCUACCACAUUCCCUUCUCUGAGGAACACUUCCUACUUCCCCACUUUCAUGAUGGCCAUGCCCAGCUCCUCCUGUCUAUCCAAAAUUUCCUCCAACUGCCCUGUUCUCUCUGCAUCCCCUUCACAUUUGUCUACCCUCAUGACUACCUCUCCCAAGAAAGCACCGAUGGAUAGAUACCUCCUUUCUGUUUCGCGUCUGAGGCCUUCAGCCAGCCAGGCCAACCAGAGGAACCUGAAAUGCUAAGACUACAAGAUUCUCAAGUAACUCCAAGACCCAAAGUUACAACACUGUCUACAAAACCUAAAAUAUGACAUCUAGGACAAGAUGAUUAUUAGAGAGGUAGCAUACUUACAUGUAGCCAUCCUGUGUAUUGAAUAUAAACAAUGUGGGCACCAUUCACAGAAAUAAAUGUUUCACUUGUAAAU
rnacentral:lncRNA from 1 species